rnacentral:rRNA from 1 species
UACGUAGGGUCCGAGCGUUGUCCGGAAUUAUUGGGCGUAAAGGGCUCGUAGGCGGUCCGUCACGUCGGGAGUGAAAACUCAGGGCUCAACCCUGAGCGUGCUUCCGAUACGGGCGGACUAGAGGUAUGCAGGGGAGAACGGAAUUCCUGGUGUAGCGGUGAAAUGCGCAGAUAUCAGGAAGAACACCCGUGGCGAAGGCGGCUCUCUGGGACGGUACUGACGCUGAGACGCGAAAGCGUGGGGAGCGAACAGG